rnacentral:rRNA from 1 species
UACAGAGGGGGCAAGCGUUGUUCGGAAUCACUGGGCGUAAAGCGCACGUAGGCGGAUCUUUAAGUCAGAGGUGAAAUCCCAAGGCUCAACCUUGGAACUGCCUUUGAUACUGGAGAUCUUGAGUCCGGGAGAGGUGAGUGGAACUGCGAGUGUAGAGGUGAAAUUCGUAGAUAUUCGCAAGAACACCAGUGGCGAAGGCGGCUCACUGGCCCGGUACUGACGCUGAGGUGCGAAAGCGUGGGGAGCAAACAGG